AAACUUAAAUGAAUUGGCGGGGGAGCACCACAACGGGUGGAGCUUGCGGUUUAAUUGGAUUCAACGCCGGAAAUCUUACCGGGACCGACAGCAAUAUGAAGGCCAGGCUGAAGACUUUGCCGGAUUAGCUGAGAGGUGGUGCAUGGCCGUCGUCAGUUCGUACUGUGAAGCAUCCUGUUAAGUCAGGCAACGAGCGAGACCCACGCCCACAGUUGCCAGCGUACUCUCUGGAGUGACGGGUACACUGUGGGGACCGCCGCUGCUAAAGCGGAGGAAGGAAUGGGCAACGGUAGGUCAGUAUGCCCCGAAUAUCCCGGGCUACACGCGAGCUACAAUGGUUGGUACAAUGGGUAUCUACCCCGAAAGGGGACGGGAAUCUCCUAAAACCAAUCUUAGUUCGGAUUGAGGGCUGCAACUCGCCCUCAUGAAGCUGGAAUCCGUAGUAAUCGCGUUUCAACAGAACGCGGUGAAUACGUCCCUGCUCCUUGCACACACCGCCCGU
rnacentral:rRNA from 1 species